GGCCCGUUCGUCUAGCGGUUAGGACGUCAGAUUUUCAUUCUGGUAACAGGGGUUCGAUUCCCCUACGGGCUACAA
rnacentral:tRNA from 1 species